AUGAUAACUACACACACAGCACAACCUUGUUCUAACAUCCUGAAAGAGUUUUCCUAUAGGUUCAUUAAGGUUGAAAAGAUAAGGGAUCAGUUGCUGGAGUGCAACAAGGAGACCUACCGGGUUCCAGAUUAUGUCAAGGAAAAGAGAUUCCAUAACUGGCUAGAAGGUGCCAGGGACUGGGCUGUUAGUAGAAGUAGAUUCUGGGGUACUCCACUUCCAAUAUGGAUCAGCCAAGAUGGUGAAGAAAUUGUAGUUAUGGAUUCCAUUGAAAAACUUGAAAAAUUAUCUGGUGUCAAGGUUAGCGAUCUUCACCGACAUUAUGUUGAUGAUAUUACGAUUCCGUCUAGAAGAGGACCAGAGUAUGGGGUGCUCAAACGGGUUGAAGAUGUUUUCGACUGCUGGUUUGAGAGCGGCUCCAUGCCAUAUGCCUACAUUCAUUAUCCAUUUGAGAACCGUGAACUAUUCGAGAAUAAUUUUCCUGGAGACUUCGUGGCAGAGGGCUUGGACCAAACACGUGGAUGGUUCUAUACUUUGAUGGUGUUAUCAACAACAUUGUUUGGGAAGCCUGCUUUUAAGAAUCUUAUUUGCAAUGGUCUUGUCUUGGCCGAGGAUGGUAAGAAAAUGAGCAAGAGUAAAAAGAAUUACCCUGCUCCAACAAAAGUCAUUGAUGAAUACGGAGCGGAUGCGUUGAGGCUGUAUUUGGUAAAUUCGCCAGUUGUACGCGCAGAGUCUCUACGAUUCAAAAGGAGUGGUCUUUUUGGUGUUGUGAAAGAUGUUUUCCUCCCAUGGUAUAAUGCAUAUAGAUUUCUUGUCCAAAAUGCGAAGAGAUUUGAGGUUGAGGGCCUCGGAGCAUUUUCUCCGAUUGAUCAAACUUCACUUCUGAAAUCAUCCAAUGUGUUAGAUCAUUGGAUAAAGUCCGCAACUGAAAGUCUGGUCAGCUUUGUUCGGUAGGAGAUGGAUGCCUAUCGGCUUUACACGGUUGUGCCAUAUUUGGUAAAAUACAUUGACAAUCUUACUAAUAUAUACGUGCGUUUCAACCGCAAACGGCUAAAAGGACGCACUGGAGAAGAAGACUGUAAAGUUUCACUUUCAACUCUCUAUCAUGCACUUGUAACAACUUGUGUGGCGAUGGCUCCAUUUACGCCUUUCUUUUCUGAGGUUCUUUAUCAAAAUCUGCGAAAGGUUUCAAGUAAUUCAGAGCAGAGCAUUCAUUUUUGUAGUUUCCCAUCCACAACUGGGGAGAGAGAUGGGCGUGUUGAGCAGAGUGUAAGCAGGAUGAUGACCAUCAUUGAUCUUGCUCGCAAUAUUCGAGAACGGCGCAGCAAAGCUCUCAAAACACCACUUAAGGAGAUGGUGGUCGUUCAUCCUGACAAUGAAUUUCUGGAAGACAUUGGUGGAAAGCUAAAAGAGUAUGUCAUGGAGGAGAUGAAUGUUAAGACUGUCACAACAUGUGAUGAUCCCAUGAAGUAUUCUGUUUCGCGGGCAGAACCCAAUUUUAGCGUACUGGGCAAAAGACUGGGAAAAGACAUGGGCAAACUAUCAAGUGAAGUUAAGAAAAUGACUCAGGACCAAAUCUUGGCAUUUGAACGAAGUGGAAAGGUUUCAUUCCUUGGUCAUUGCUUGACGGUAGACGAUAUUAAGGUGGUCCAACAAUUCAAGCGUCCAGCAAAUAUGUCAGAGAAGGAAAUGGAUGCUGCAGGAGAUGGUGAUGUUUUGGUCAUAUUGGAUCUUACAGCUGAUCAAUCGUUGUUUGAAGCUGGAGUGGCUCGCGAGGUCGUAAACAAAAUUCAGAAGUUACGUAAGGUUGGUCAGCUGGAACAUACGGACCUGGUUGAUGUGUAUUACAAAUCUGAAGAUGAUAACAACACACUUCAAGAAAUAUUGCAGUCACAGGUAAGCUAG
rnacentral:rRNA from 1 species